rnacentral:tRNA from 1 species
UCCCUGGUAGUCUAGUGGUUAAGACUCUGUGCUUCCACUGCGGGGGCAAAGGUUCCAUCCCUGGUCAGGGAA